UUUCUUUAAUACCAACAUUUCAAAAGUACGGUCAGUGAGAUUUUGUUUGCCAUCGAUUGACAAUUCCAAAAAUAGUACUCACCUAAAUAUUGCAUUACAGUUACUCAAAUGGGAGUACUCACUUAAAUAUUGCAUUUCAAUAACUCCAACUUAGUAACAUUAGUUCAAUUUUACAAAUAAACUUACAAACUAACACUUAACUUAUGCAUGCUUACGUAUCGUCGGCUUAGCUUUUCCUUAUAAGCUAGAGAUAUUGCACAUAUGUAUGUACCUUUGCUAGCAUAAGUACUCAUUAGAAUUUUGCCACUUUGUUUUGUAACUCUUUUGCUUGAAUGUACUUACAGUGGGGAGCAAAACCGAGAACAUAUUUGCUUUCUUGAGGUAUUAGCAUUGAUUUUCAUGAUACAAUUUUCUCGAUAGGUUUUUUGAAAGUUUGAUGUUGACUCUUUAUUAUACUAGUAUUGAAUGGACUAUAAAACUGCAUACCCAAAAAUAUUAUAAAUGCUCUUAUUAAAGCCUUUGAAAUUUGUACGAAAAUUUUAAAAUUGUAUCGUGAAAAAAAAUGCUAAUGUCUCAAAAAGGCAAACAUGCGUUCCUUUCUGCUCCCCAGUGUGCAUUUGAACAUUCACACAAACAUAUGUACUACAUAAUAACUAACUCGCUUUACUACUGAGCUCCGUUGUAAUUUUAAGAGUGCCAAAUUAAGUAGCAAGACACCAAGAAAUCACGUUUUAAUUCAUAAAGAAGGGUGUGAGUUUAACUAGCAAAAGGAGAACAUUAAUUGUGAACUAUUGUACUUGUCUAAAUGUCUGUUCAUGUUUUCGAAACCGAUUUUUCUGCAGACGACAGUAUUGAAGAUCUGGACUUUAAUACUACUGGAAGUAAACGAAAGAGUUCAUUAAGUGCGAAAUCAGGACCGGCCCUAAAAAAAGUCCGUGUGAAUUCACAAAAAAUUAUUUUCAAAGAAGAAUUUUACACAGAAGUGGAAAAAAUUUCCGACAAGACAACUUGUGCUAAGUGCGUUGCAUGUCAUCGAGUGAUUAGAGGAAGCGGUGAAGUGACUUCAAAUUUCAUCAAACAUUUGCAAGUCAAGCAUAGUGAAUGUUUUAAAACAUACAAAAGUUAUAAAACAGGUAGCCCUUUUGGCGGUAACAUGCAAUCUGAGUUCGAUGGUAAACUGUUACAUGCAAUGAUUGAUUGUUCAUUGCCCCUUUCCAUUCUGGAAGAAAAAUCCUUUAUAGAUCUUUUUCAAAGUACAGGUAUGAAGGUGAUGUGUCAGAAUGUUUUCAAUGCAAAUUUUUCAAAACGAAAUGUAAAUAUAAAAUGAUGAGCUUUCAAA